UGCAAGUCGAACGGGGUCUUCGGACCUAGUGGCGCACGGGUGAGUAACAUGUGGGAAUCUGCCUGAAGGUUCGGAAUAACUGCGGGAAACUGUAGCUAAUACCGGAUGUGUCUGCAAAGAGAAAGAUUUAUCGCCUUCAGAUGAGCCCGCACUAGAUUAGCUAGUUGGUGAGGUAAUUGCUCCACCAAGGCUACGAUCUAUAGCUGAUUUGAGAGGAUGAUCAGCCACACUGGGACUGAGACACGGCCCAGACUCCUACGGGAGGCAGCAGUAGGGAAUAUUGGACAAUGGGGGAAACCCUGAUCCAGCAAUGCCGCGUGAGUGAAGAAGGCCUUAGGGUUGUAAAACUCUUUCAUCAAUGAUGAUAAUGACAUUAGUUGAAGAAGAAGCUCCGGCUAACUUCGUGCCAGCAGCCGCGGUAAUACGAAGGGGGCUAGCGUUGUUCGGAAUCACUGGGCGUAAAGCGUAUGUAGGCGGAUCAAAAAGUUAGAUGUGAAAUCCCUGGGCUCAACCCAGGAACUGCAUUUAAAACUAGUGAUCUAGAAAUUGGUAAAGGUUAGUAGAAUUUCCAGUGUAGAGGUGAAAUUCGUAGAAAUUGGAAAGAAAUACCAGAAGCGAAGGCGACUAACUAGGCCAUUUUUGACGCUGAGAUACGAAAGCGUGGGUAGCAAACAGGAUUAGAUACCCUGGUAGUCCACGCAGUAAACGAUGAGUGCUAGUCGCUGGGACAAUAGUUUCAGUGUCGAAGCUAACGCAUUAAGCACUCCGCCUGGGAAGUACGGUCGCAAGAUUAAAACUCAAAUAAAUUGA
rnacentral:rRNA from 1 species